rnacentral:misc_RNA from 1 species
UGUACCGGUUGGUUGGAUCCCUGUCUCGGCAGCGACAACCGCUUGUUCAUACAUGUUCAUUUCUGUCCGAGAGCUAAAAAWUUUGGCUUCGGCGUGCUUGGUCCCCUGUGCAACAUACCUAUUUUGACGGAAUUCCAUAGUCCCAUGGUCCCUUAUUUGUCUCGUGCUCCUUAUGUUGUGCGAGUCAGACAACGAAACUAACAUGGACGUCCUACCUUACGUUUCCAUUCGGUCUUGUAAGCAUCGGAUGUCCAUGAGUCGCUAGAAAUCUUGUAGGCAGAACCAUUGAUCGGUUCGGGUCUUGGCCCUUGUUUGUCCGAAUUAAAUGUCCCUCACGAAAGUCUGUUGUGCCUUGUGUUGACUGUAGGAUGAUAAUGCAUCUUGUGCUCAUGCGAGGCCUUCAGCAAGAAGGAAUGC